rnacentral:lncRNA from 1 species
UUCCGACAGAUAACUUGGCACUGAAGCUGCGUCUAAACUAAACAGUUGACUGAACAAAAGAGCGUGGCAGUAGAUAGUUAUCGGGAAGGAAGGAGUACUGGAAAAGACAAGUCACCUCCUUCAACUGCUCAAAAGUAUGCUUUAUUAGAUCAAAAUUACUAUCAUUUUAGCCUCAUCUAUACACAGACUUAUUAACUCAGUGCCAGUAAAUCUACAACACAAGCGUCUCAUUUGGAAACAAGGACAAACCUACAGGUGGCAUGGCCAGUGAACUAAAAUCAAACAAGUAAAUCAACAUCACUUGGCAGAUGAAGAUCUCUAGUAAUUCAUCCAUAAGUCCGCUGGUCAGAAACAAACACAAAAAGAAAUGGCACAUGAAAAAAAACUGAUUAGACCAGGGGACCUUGAGCAGCUGCCGCUCAAAUUCCAUAGCUGGGCGUCGUCCUCUUCUGCCUGCACUAAAUGCAUCGGGUGAGUUGGUGAUGUUGCAGCGGCUCCAUCUCCAUGGUGAUGCCGUCGUCCGUGGAGGGCGGCCGCUGCUCCAGAUCGAAUCCUACCAAGAGAAAAACGAGGGAAUCAGAGAGGGAAUGAAGGAGAGGAUUUGUAUCGAGGGGAGGCAGAGCGAGUGGUGGAGGGAGGCGUGUAGAAGGGACCAUGUCUGCCCCGAAGGCCUUGCCCUGGCGCGUGUAGUCCGCGGCCGCGGCCACCGCGGAGGACGCGGAGGAG